rnacentral:lncRNA from 1 species
UUGUUAUGUGUUGGACAUGGUGUGCAGCCCUGGGUACAGAGUGGUGAACCAAACAAGUGUGGCUUCAUGGAGCCUGUCAUCUGGUUAUGAAGAUAAACACCAAGCAAAUAAACACAACAAACGUAUUACUACAAUCAGUGAUAAGUGAUGUGAAAGAAACUAGUAUUCCACAUGAAGGAUGAGGCAGGAGGCAGAGAAACAGGGUAGGAGGCUGUCUUAGGCUGGGCUACUAUAACAAAACACCAUGGACUGGGUGGCUUAAACAACAGACAUUUAUCUCUCACAGUUCUGGAGGUGGGGAAGUGCAGGAUCAAGGUGCCAGCUGAGUGAGUUCCCUGGGAGGGCUCUCUUCCUGGCUUGGAGACGGCCUCCUUCUUGCUGUGGCCUUACACGGUGGAGAUAAAGAACUCUGGUCUCUCUUCCACUUUCUUACAAGGGCACUAAUCCCAUCAUGGAGGCCCCAUCCUCAUGACCUCAUCUAAACCAAUUACCUCCCAGAGGCUUUACCUCCAAAUACCGUCACAUUGGGAGUGACAGCUUCAACAUGAAUUUGGGGAAGACAAAAAUAUUCAGUUCAUAAGAGAGGCUUAUACAAUAGUCUAAUCAAAUGACAGUAUUGAGCAGGGGCAGUGGGAACAGAGAGAAAGGGACAGACUCAAAGACAUUUUAAAGGAAGCAUUAUCAAGAUGGGGCAACAGGCUGGAGUGAAAGAAGGAGGUCUCAGAAGUGCUAGUCACACUUGAACCCGAUGAUGAGAAAAGCGAAAUAUGGACAUGGAAGGGAGACAGAGGUGUGGAGGGAGAGGGGAGAUGAUGAGUUCUGGCUUAAUAAUGACAAGUCAUCCAAGAAAAGGUCUUUCAGCAAUUGGCAAGGCUGGCCUGGAUCUGUGAGGCUCAGGGUUAGGGAUUCCCAUGUGAGAGUGAAUGAGCUCAUAGCCCUUAGUGUGAAGGUAAGGACGCCGGCUUGGAGAAGAUCCCCAAACCCCUGCAGCCAAUACAGUUAGAAUAUUCACGCGAUGACUUCCUGCCUUGAGGAAAAGCAGGCUGCCAUCCCUUCAACUCAUC